AAGCCUGUCGAGCGCCGCCCGUACGCUGCACCCGCAGCCACGCACUCGAGGCCGAGCUCCCGAGCGUGCCGCCGCCUCGACCUCGCGACCCGCCGGCGACCGGAUCCUCGCCGGAGAUGAGUGCCGACGUGCCCUGCUCCCUCCUCUCUUCCUCUGUCUCCUCUCACCUCGCUCAUCCCCCAAUCUCUCUGUCCCCAGGACGAACAGGAGCAUGCCAUGGCCUCGGAUCCGCGCCGCCGUCGCCGGAGAACGUCGCCCGCCACCGGUUCUUCGACCACAACUACCGGAUCAAGUUGCCCCGCCUCCGAUCUACCCGUUCCCGGCCACCCCAACCUCGCCUCAUCAUUGGGCGCGCAGAGAGACGGCCAUGGCCGCCCGAUUGCCGAGCGCCGCCGGCCAAGGUGGCUGCCCGAUGCACGAGCGCCGCCGGCCAAGGACCCGCCGGCGUCCAUAUCCCCUCCACGCCAUCCCCAUCUCGCCGGAGACCUGCUCCAAGUCUGGCCGCCCUCCAAACAGUACGCGGAGACAGAGGCCAAGGAUGACCGGCAACUCUUGGAGGAGGACACCUCAAAUCAGUCUGGGAAGUUGUCGUCGUUUUCCUCGGGCAGCAAUGCAAAAUAUUGUAAUGAUACUUAUCAACGUUUUUAUUUGGUUGUGCAGUACUCGCUAGGUGCUUGACGAAAUUCCCAUAUGAUGCAUGUGGCAAGGUUCCUAGAGGAUAAUGUAGAUUAAUGAUUCCAUGGAGAGCUGCCAGAAUCUUCAAUUGGAGGCAAUUAAAGACGGACCUCACCGGAUUGGAUUUGUCUAGCAUUCCAGCUAAGUUUCAAGGUAGCUUUAAGACUCCAUGCAAACAAUCACUGAUUAGUAGGUAGUAGGCAUGCAGUUUCAGUUAAACCGAAGCUUAAUCCACAUACAUUGUUCACUGGAGGUAUCCGUGCCAUUACACUCAUCCCUCUGUGUGAGUGACACAACUAUGUACUGCUAUAAAAACACUGGAGUGCCCAACAAUAUCUUAUAAUGGCUUUGGUACGUGGCAGUAUGAGGCCUGGGAUAAUGUUUACUUGUGAUUCACAAAAUGGAAGUAUGUGCUAUAUCUUUGUAUGAAAUUAAGGAAACAUGUCACGUUCAUUGUCGCCUGGUUUAUGGUAACUGGUGUUGCCCCCUCCCUUGGAAUCUCUCAGAUCUAUGGCAUAGCCAGUUCUCCAUCCCGCAGUUUUCGCAUGUUGCAACGCACUGGCUCUUUUGUAGGACCACCGUCGACAUAGACAAGCUCUGCUUCAAGGACGAGACAUAGAAGAAGGCUCGACAAGAGGAAGGAAGCAGCAUCCAUGUAAAGGAAUUUCUGCAAUGUAAUUCUGUGAAUUGCAGGUGUGGUUUAGCAACGUACCUCAUACAUGGUUGGUUGCUGACAAAGGAGGGCAGAAUUGGAUUACAAAGGCUAAAGAUGGUACCAUCUGGCUCUCGCACUAGAGUUUUUCUGGAUGUUGGCUUUGGAGUAACAAGUUUUGGGCCAUACUUAAUUUCACGUGAAUUUGAGCAUGGUGUUCCUGCAAUGGUGGCAACUAAUUUAACACCGGCUAUUAUCCAAUGUUCCCGCUGUAGAAUAAAUUCGACAUGUGAUGGUGAGCUGAGAGAUGGAGGACCUAGCUCUCAAACGGACCAUGUUGGGAGAUUGUGAGGAAAAUAUGUUUCUAUGUGGAGGAAGCCUUUUAUAAUUAACUCAUGGUACAUGAGUCGUGAUCCUAGGGUCAAACAUCCACUUUGUGAUACUGAUGAUAAUUCCAGAUAAUGUCUGGUAUUUUGAACCCCACCUGGCAUGCUUUUAAUUGUUAAGCCUCAAUUCAAGGACUAAAUUCAGAAUAUGUAUUAAGAAAGUAGUCCAUACUUUUUUUAGAUUUGUUUUGAACAUUUGCAUAAUUAUGCAAUUAUCUCUUGCAAAGUGUAGUCUCAUGAUUUCGACUUAUUUUUUUGUUGAUGAGUGAAUGUGUGAUA